GGUGGCUCAGUGGUAGAGCACUUGCCUUGCAUGCAUGAGGCCUUAGGUUCAAUUCCUCAGCACCA
rnacentral:tRNA from 1 species